UACGUAGGGUGCGAGCGUUGUCCGGAAUUAUUGGGCGUAAAGAGCUCGUAGGCGGUGUGUCACGUCGGCCGUGAAAACCUGGGGCUCAACUCUGGGCGUGCGGUCGAUACGGGCAUCACUUGAGUUCGGCAGGGGAGACUGGAAUUCCUGGUGUAGCGGUGAAAUGCGCAGAUAUCAGGAGGAACACCGGUGGCGAAGGCGGGUCUCUGGGCCGAUACUGACGCUGAGGAGCGACAGCGUGGGGAGCAAACAGG
rnacentral:rRNA from 1 species